rnacentral:rRNA from 1 species
UACGUAGGGCGCAAGCGUUGUCCGGAAUUAUUGGGCGUAAAGAGCGUGUAGGCGGCCAGGUAGGUCGGUUGUGAAAACUAGAGGCUUAACCUCUAGACGUCGACCGAAACCAUCUGGCUAGAGUCCGGAAGAGGAGAGUGGAAUUCCUGGUGUAGCGGUGAAAUGCGCAGAUAUCAGGAAGAACACCCGUGGCUAAGGCGGCUCUCUAGUACGGUACUGACGCUGAGACGCGAAAGCGUGGGGAGCGAACAGG